AAAAACUGAAAGUAUUAGAAAGAUAUAUAGAAAAGAAAAUGAAAGGAAAAGAUGCUUACAUUCAUUCUCAAAUAUUCAUUUUGAAAAAGAGGGAACUCUCCACUUACCGAUGACCGAAAUGCAUUUCUCGUUCACGACACCGCUGGGCAGCAGAUGAAAGUCGAAUUCGGUGCCGUUGGCAACCACAGUGUGUCCAGCAUUAUUACCGCCCUGUGGAUAAAUAAAUUGAAAGAUGGUUGACAUUAAAAACGGAGAAUUUUACAGAGAGUGAGAGAGAGGGAAAUACGUCUAUUGUUUGUAUAUGAAAUUAGCAAGUUUGUGUGUUUUUGCUGUUCAUUAAAACUUGUGUGAUAAAUAAAUAAUCAUAAUAAUGUUGUACAA